AUGUCGUGUGUGUUCGGUAGAUUCAGUAUCUUUAUGUUAAUUUGUCUGUAUUACUACUCUGCCGUCACUAGUAUUGUAGAUGGUUCUCGCUGGUUUCGUGAUGUUUUCCUUUGCAUGCUAAUUAUACAAGGAUGGGUGCUAUCAAUCUGCUCCUUUGUGAAUCUAUACUGCAUGCUUAUGAAGAAAACCAUUUGCCUGUUUAACCUGCUCUUGUACGUACUAGGUAAAGAAAUUAAAUUAAUGACAAAUUAUGUAUUGUGUACAACAAUCCAGAAAACUCUAGACCGAUUUGUCAUGGAUGCUCAUGUUGCGGAACUGAUGAAACCUGAAAAGUUUGCCGGUGACAACUUCAAGAGAUGGCAGUCCAAGGUGCGUCACUACCUCCUGUCCAAGGGCCUGUGGUGGAUUAUCCCACAGGUUAGGCCGCUGACUCGUCAGCAGGUAAUGGACUUUGAGUUAGCAAACGACAUUGUUGUGGCUGUCAUCUUGUCGCUCCUUGAGAACCAGCUCUAUGAUGUAUACCAUGGGUCACCUCUGCAAUAG
rnacentral:rRNA from 1 species